rnacentral:rRNA from 1 species
GCUUACGGCCAUACCAACCUGGCUAUGCCCGAUCUCGUCUGCUCUCGGAAGCUAAGCAGGUUUGGGCCUGGUUAGUACUUGGAUGGGAGACCGCCUGGGAAUACCAGGUGCUUUAAACU